rnacentral:rRNA from 1 species
AUUGAACGCUGGCGGCAGGCCUAACACAUGCAAGUCGAGCGAGCGGCGGACGGGUGAGUAAUGUCUGGGAAACUGCCUGAUGGAGGGGGAUAACUACUGGAAACGGUAGCUAAUACCGCAUACCAUCAGAUGUGCCCAGAUGGGAUUAUCUAGUAGGUGGGGUAACGGCUCACCUAGGCGACGAUCCCUAGCUGGUCUGAGAGGAUGACCAGCCACACUGGAACUUAGACACGGUCCAGAGUCCUACGGGAGGCAGCAGUGGGGAAUAUUGCACAAUGGGCGAAAGCCUGAUAAAGCUAUGCCGCGGGUGUGAAGAAGGCCUUCGGGUUGUAAAGCACUUUCAGCGGGGAGGCGUUACCCGCAGAAGAAGCACCGGAUAACUCCGUGCCAGCAGCCGCGGUAAUAC